UUAGCAUAUCAAUAAGCGGAGGAAAAGAAACCAACCCGGGAUUACCUCAGUAACGGCGAGUGAAGCGGUAAUAGCUCAAAUUUGAAAUCUGGCUUCGGUCCGAGUUGUAAUUUGUAGAAGAUGCUUCGGGUGUGGCUCCGGUCUAAGUUCCUUGGAACAGGACGUCAUAGAGGGUGAGAAUCCCGUAUGUGACUGGGUGCCUUCGCCUAUGUGAAGCUCUUUCGACGAGUCGAGUUGUUUGGGAAUGCAGCUCAAAAUGGGUGGUAUAUUUCAUCUAAAGCUAAAUAUUGGCCAGAGACCGAUAGCGCACAAGUAGAGUGAUCGAAAGAUGAAAAGCACUUUGGAAAGAGAGUUAAACAGUACGUGAAAUUGUUGAAAGGGAAGCGUUUGCAAUCAGACUUGCACGUUGCCGAUCAUCUGGUGUUCUCACCAGUGCACUCGGUUUCGUUCAGGCCAGCAUCGGUUUGGGUGGUUGGAUAAAGGCCUUGGGAAUGUGGCUCCUCUCGGGGAGUGUUAUAGCCCUCGGUGCAAUGCAGCCUACCUGGACCGAGGACCGCGCUUCGGCUAGGAUGCUGGCGUAAUGAUUGUAAACGACCCGUCUUGAAACACGGACCAAGGAGUCUAACAUCUAUGCGAGUAUUUGGGUGUUAAACCCAUAUGCGUAAUUAACGUGAACGGAGGUAAGAGCCCUUAAGGGUGCAUUAUCGACCGGUCCUGAUGUCUUCGGAAGGAUCUGAGUAAGAGCAUAGCUGUUGGGACCCGAAAGAUGGUGAACUAUGCCUGAAUAGGGUGAAGCCAGAGGAAACUCUGGUGGAGGCUCGCAGCGGUUCUGACGUGCAAAUCGAUCGUCAAAUUUGGGUAUAGGGGCGAAAGACUAAUCGAACCAUCUAGUAGCUGGUUCCUGCCGAAGUUCCCC
rnacentral:rRNA from 1 species